UACGUAGGGUGCAAGCGUUAAUCGGAAUUACUGGGCGUAAAGCGUGCGCAGGCGGCUUUGCAAGACAGAUGUGAAAUCCCCGGGCUUAACCUGGGAACUGCAUUUGUGACUGGCAAGCUAGAGUAUGGCAGAGGGGGGUAGAAUUCCACGUGUAGCAGUGAAAUGCGUAGAGAUGUGGAGGAAUACCGAUGGCGAAGGCAGCCCCCUGGGCCAAUACUGACGCUCAUGCACGAAAGCGUGGGGAGCAAACAGG
rnacentral:rRNA from 1 species